rnacentral:rRNA from 1 species
GGCUGGUAUGAACGGUUGGACGAGGUAUAAGCUGUUUCAUAUAAAUUUAUAAUAGAAUUUUAUAUUUUAGUCAAAAAGCUAAAAUUUAAUUAAAAGACGAGAAGACCCUAUAAAUCUUUAUACUUUACAUUGUUUAAAUUUUUUAGAUUAAUUUUAUUUUUAUAAUUUAAAGUAUUUUGUUGGGGUGAUAUUAAAAUUUAAUGAACUUUUAAUUAUUUAAAAUCAUUAAUUUAUGAGUUAUUGAUCCAUUAGUAGUGAUUAUAAGAUUAAGUUACUUUAGGGAUAACAGCGUAAUUUUUUUGGAGAGUUCAUAUCGAUAAAAAAGUUUGCGACCUCGAUGUUGGAU